GCCCGGGGGGGGGUGGCUAUACAUGCAAGUCGAACGAACUCUGGUAUUGAUUGGUGCUUGCAUCAUGAUUUACAUUUGAGUGAGUGGCGAACUGGUGAGUAACACGUGGGAAACCUGCCCAGAAGCGGGGGAUAACACCUGGAAACAGAUGCUAAUACCGCAUAACAACUUGGACCGCAUGGUCCGAGCUUGAAAGAUGGCUUCGGCUAUCACUUUUGGAUGGUCCCGCGGCGUAUUAGCUAGAUGGUGGGGUAACGGCUCACCAUGGCAAUGAUACGUAGCCGACCUGAGAGGGUAAUCGGCCACAUUGGGACUGAGACACGGCCCAAACUCCUACGGGAGGCAGCAGUAGGGAAUCUUCCACAAUGGACGAAAGUCUGAUGGAGCAACGCCGCGUGAGUGAAGAAGGGUUUCGGCUCGUAAAACUCUGUUGUUAAAGAAGAACAUAUCUGAGAGUAACUGUUCAGGUAUUGACGGUAUUUAACCAGAAAGCCACGGCUAACUACGUGCCAGCAGCCGCGGUAAUACGUAGGUGGCAAGCGUUGUCCGGAUUUAUUGGGCGUAAAGCGAGCGCAGGCGGUUUUUUAAGUCUGAUGUGAAAGCCUUCGGCUCAACCGAAGAAGUGCAUCGGAAACUGGGAAACUUGAGUGCAGAAGAGGACAGUGGAACUCCAUGUGUAGCGGUGAAAUGCGUAGAUAUAUGGAAGAACACCAGUGGCGAAGGCGGCUGUCUGGUCUGUAACUGACGCUGAGGCUCGAAAGUAUGGGUAGCAAACAGGAUUAGAUACCCUGGUAGUCCAUACCGUAAACGAUGAAUGCUAAGUGUUGGAGGGUUUCCGCCCUUCAGUGCUGCAGCUAACGCAUUAAGCAUUCCGCCUGGGGAGUACGGCCGCAAGGCUGAAACUCAAAGGAAUUGACGGGGGCCCGCACAAGCGGUGGAGCAUGUGGUUUAAUUCGAAGCUACGCGAAGAACCUUACCAGGUCUUGACAUACUAUGCAAAUCUAAGAGAUUAGACGUUCCCUUCGGGGACAUGGAUACAGGUGGUGCAUGGUUGUCGUCAGCUCGUGUCGUGAGAUGUUGGGUUAAGUCCCGCAACGAGCGCAACCCUUAUUAUCAGUUGCCAGCAUUAAGUUGGGCACUCUGGUGAGACUGCCGGUGACAAACCGGAGGAAGGUGGGGAUGACGUCAAAUCAUCAUGCCCCUUAUGACCUGGGCUACACACGUGCUACAAUGGAUGGUACAACGAGUUGCGAACUCGCGAGAGUAAGCUAAUCUCUUAAAGCCAUUCUCAGUUCGGAUUGUAGGCUGCAACUCGCCUACAUGAAGUCGGAAUCGCUAGUAAUCGCGGAUCAGCAUGCCGCGGUGAAUACGUUCCCGGGCCUUGUACACACCGCCCGUCACACCAUGAGAGUUUGUAACACCCAAAGUCGGUGGGGUAACCUUUUAGGAACCAGCCGCCUAAGGUGACCGAAAG
rnacentral:rRNA from 1 species